CGAAAGCCUGAUGCAGCAACGCCGCGUGCGGGAAGAAGGCCUUAGGGUUGUAAACCGCUUCAGCAGGGAAGAAACUGACGGUACCUGCAGAAGAAGGUGCGGCCAACUACGUGCCAGCAGCCGCGGUGACACGUAGGCACCAAGCGUUGUCCGGAUUUAUUGGGCGUAAAGAGCUCGUAGGCGGUUCAGUAAGUCGGGUGUGAAAACUCUGGGCUCAACCCAGAGACGCCACCCGAUACUGCUGUGACUUGAGUACGGUAGGGGAGUGGGGAAUUCCUGGUGUAGCGGUGAAAUGCGCAGAUAUCAGGAGGAACACCAGUGGCGAAGGCGCCACUCUGGGCCGUAACUGACGCUGAGGAGCGAAAGCGUGGGUAGCAAACAGGAUUAGAUACCCUGGUAGUCCACGCCGUAAACGUUGGGCACUAGGUGUGGGUCUCAACCAACGAGAUCCGCGCCGUCGCUAACGCAUUAAGUGCCCCGCCUGGGGAGUACGGUCGCAAGACUA
rnacentral:rRNA from 1 species